GGGGGCGAUUGGUGUCGACGGGGAAGUGGUUGGCUUAAGCUGCGAGCCGAGGUUGGUCGGUUGGCCUCGUAAAAAGCCGUCCAAAAAAUAAACGCGAACACUGGUUACGCUCUCGCUGCCUAAUUAGGCAAGCGCAUCCGCCCGUUCCAAGCCGGCGGAACGGAUUCGGGUGUCAUGAGACCGGCUUGCUCGUCAAGUAAAGUCCGCCAACUGACGAGGACAUCUUUUGUGGACUGGGGCCAAGGAAUCCUGCCCGCAGGAGUCUGAGGCUCGAGAAUCAAAAUGCGGGAUACGCUCGUAGACGCUUUUGUCGACCAUUCUUCGGACGGGGGUUCGAGUCCCCCCGCCUCCACCA
rnacentral:tmRNA from 1 species